CUAACCUGAAGUUGGAGCUACACACCAUGAUGAUCAGAUUUGGGGUUGUUGUGGUAAUAUUCAGUACAAUAUGUGUGUCAAAAUGCAACAAUGUUCAGCGGCAUAUUCAAGUUCCGGGGGUUCAAAUUGGUGGUAUGCAGGCACCAUAGUGGUAUGCAGGCACCAUACCGUUAUGCAGGCACCAUACCGUCAUGCAGAUGGCACAUCUCAACAAAUCUGUGAUGGCAUUCUCAGUGCUGACCAGUUGGGUCAACAGGGAUUCAGUGGUGACCGGCUACAAUACACUGGAGUGACCUUUACCACCAAGACAACUGGAACCAGGAGAAAUAAAUGAAAGAAUUGGGGAGUAUCCUGUUGUUCCACUAUUGGAAGUUGCAACAUCACAGAAACAAGCAAAUCUUUUUUUACAGACAUGGAUCACAGUUUGUUUUCUAUAGUUUAAAGGGGUGUAAUUCCCAGAGUUGUGCUAUUUUGUUUCUUUGAUUAUUUCAGAAAUUAAGUGUAAAUGCAAGUAUGUUUAAUUAGUAAUCCAUUUCAAAGAGAAGAUCUUUGAUGACAGUUGUGUAAAUCAACCUUUGUACCAUUAUUAAAAGCUCCAUUCUAAAUAAUGUGAUGAAUCAG
ensembl:lncRNA